rnacentral:rRNA from 1 species
AGAGUUUGAUCCUGGCUCAGAACGAACGCUGGCGGCGUGCUUAACACAUGCAAGUCGAACGUGAUCCAGAGCUUGCUCUGGUGAAAGUGGCGCACGGGUGAGUAACGCGUGGAUAACCUGCCCUGGUAUCUGGGAUAACAUCUCGAAAGGGGUGCUAAUACCGGAUAAGCCUACGGGCUCUUCGGAGUCUGCAGGAAAAGGAGGCCUCUAUUUAUAAGCUUCCGUAUCAUGAUGGGUCCGCGUACCAUUAGCUAGUUGGUGGGGUAAUGGCCUACCAAGGCGACGAUGGUUAGCUGGUCUGAGAGGAUGAUCAGCCACACUGGAACUGAGACACGGUCCGGACUCCUACGGGAGGCAGCAGUGGGGAAUUUUGCGCAAUGGGGAAACCCUGACGCAGCAACGCCGCGUGAGUGAUGAAGGCUUUCGGGUCGUAAAGCUCUGUCAGAGGGGAAGAAAUGAAACGUGCUAAUAUCACGUUUUCUUGACGGUACCCUCAAAGGAAGCACCGGCUAACUCCGUGCCAGCAGCCGCGGUAA